UAUCUUGACUCUUUGCUCUCCAGAAAGAGGAGCACUCAUAGAAGAGAAGAGGAAAGGAAUAUUACAGGAGAACAUGUGUGUUUAAAUACCAAAUGUCUAGAGACUGAAAUGCAGUCAGGAGUUUUUUAGAAUCCAGACAUAAUUAUUAAAAGUGAUUAGCUUCCCAAGUCAUUCUGUAAAAAACAAACAAACAAAACAAAACAAAAAAAAAAACCAAAAAACCCUGAAAAACAACCAAACGUGUUUCCUUAGAAACAUGUCUGUAUUUACCUUGAAAUCCAAAUCAAUAAUCAACAUACAGUACCUGUGGUUUCUAGUUGUAAUCACAAAAGACGUCAUUUGGUCGGAAGUGUCUCAUUUGCCCAGUCAGCAAACACAGUGUCAGCUGCUGAGAAGACAGAGACCAGUGAAGCCUAGUCCCUGCCCUUAAAGACAUAAAAAUGAGUCCACAGCACUGUAAAAAUCACACAGAAACAGGAAACUUUGGAGAUCCUGGGGGCAGGGGCAGGAUGGGGGAGGGGAAACGCACUUACAGACGGGCAUCGCGGAACUCACGCGUCUUCUGGCGCUUGAAUUUCCUCCGUGGAUUAUUUAUUUACCUUGCAGUCACGGAGUGGGUGGGGUCUGGCAGCAGCAGGGACCCCACGGAUGUAUGCUGGGGUCAAGGAAAGGACGAAGUGAAGGUUUAUAACCAGCACCUCUCCCCACCUCCGUGUGCUCAGACACCACAUUCGCGAUCCAAGUGGCUCUCUGUUGUUGCCCAUUUGCAGGCUGGCAUCAGUUACCAGGAAGCUGGGGCGACUUGGGGUCGUGGGGCAGCCUCCCAGCCUCCUGACAGGGUGGUCCCAAGCUAUGUAAGAGCAGGCGGUAUCUAUACUCUUGGGGAAGAGUGUCUAGAACACUCAUUUAUUGGUUGGGUUCCCCGUGGGUACAAAGGCAUUAAAAACUAGAUUGAGCCUGUGAUCUGAACCUCCGAAGGGUAACUUGUAGGGUAAGACUCCCUGGGUCAAAACCCAGUUCAGUCUUUUUCACUACGCAUCCACUGUGGCCCUCGGAAGUUACUACUUUACCUCUCCGAGCCUCUGUUUCCUUCUCAGUCAAGUUUGCCAAUAGCGAUGCUGACAUUUCUCCAAAGGCUGCCUUGGGAUGAGAUGAGUUAGUGUUUCUUAUGCACGGCCACACAGUGCCAAGUCCAAGCCCAAGUGUGUGAUAAACCAGCAGCAGAUCCUCCGACCAUCCCUUCCAGCGCCUUCUGAUGGCCGCUUUGCUCUACACUCUGACCAGGACUUUGGUUCACAACAAGGAAUAAAGUCAAGACCAAUGCCAUCAAUAGGAGCCUACGGUUUCCUUCACCAUAAUUCGCUUGCCUUCGGUGGUGGAAUGAAAACACUGAAUUUUAAAACUGGAAAAAACUUCAGAGAUCUGAUAAGUGAGAUCAGCUCCUGUUUUUAUAAGGAAACUGAGGCCCAAGGAGGAUCAAUCCCUUACCUGCGGUCAUGCGGCUAUUUCCUGGCAGGGCUGGGGCUGGGGGUUAUUUCCAGGCCGACUGGCCCUUGCCGGCAUUUUCCCUUAUAAGGUAUUACUCUCGGAGUAUAUAAAACACCUUCAAAAUCCGCCGUGGUAUUAAACUGCAUGAUGCCAUGCUUUAGGCAAGUCUGAACAACAAAAAUAGCAAAAGACCCUUUGUAUGCUGUAAAAUCGAUAAUCCCUAAAUAAAUGUGUCUGCAGUGUGAGUCAGACCGGUACAGAUAUAUGA